UCGAGAAUCAUUCACAAUGGGGGAAACCCUGAUGGUGCGACGCCGCGUGGGGGAAUGAAGGUCUUCGGAUUGUAAACCCCUGUCAUGUGGGAGCAAAUUAAAAAGAUAGUACCACAAGAGGAAGAGACGGCUAACUCUGUGCCAGCAGCCGCGGUAAUACAGAGGUCUCAAGCGUUGUUCGGAAUCACUGGGCGUAAAGCGUGCGUAGGCGGUUUCGUAAGUCGUGUGUGAAAGGCGGGGGCUCAACCCCCGGACUGCACAUGAUACUGCGAGACUAGAGUAAUGGAGGGGGAACCGGAAUUCUCGGUGUAGCAGGGAAAUGCGUAGAUAUCGAGAGGAACACUCGUGGCGAAGGCGGGUUCCUGGACAUUAACUGACGCUGAGGCACGAAGGCCAGGGGAGCGAAAGGG
rnacentral:rRNA from 1 species